CCUACGGGUGGCUGCAGUGAGGAAUAUUGGUCAAUGGGCGGGAGCCUGAACCAGCCAAGUCGCGUGAGGGAAGAAGGUACUGAGUAUUGUAAACCUCUUUUGCCAGGGGACAAAGGCGGCCACGGGUGGCCGUAAGAGGGUACCUGGAGAAAAAGCAUCGGCUAACUCCGUACCAGCAGCCGCGGUAAUACGUAGGUGGCAAGCGUUAUCCGGAUUUAUUGGGUGUAAAGGGCGUGUAGGCGGGAGCGCAAGUCAGAUGUGAAAACUCAGGGCUCAACCCUGAGCCUGCAUUUGAAACUGUGUUUCUUGAGUGCUGGAGAGACAAUCGGAAUUCCGUGUGUAGCGGUGAAAUGCGUAGAUAUACGGAGGAACACCAGUGGCGAAGGCGGAUUGCUGGACAGUAACUGACGCUGAGGCGCGAAAGCGUGGGGAGCAAACAGGAUUAGAUACCCCUGUAGUC
rnacentral:rRNA from 1 species